rnacentral:rRNA from 1 species
GUUAAGCGACUAAGCGUACACGGUGGAUGCCCUGGCAGUCAGAGGCGAUGAAGGACGUGCUAAUCUGCGAUAAGCGUCGGUAAGGUGAUAUGAACCGUUAUAACCGGCGAUUUCCGAAUGGGGAAACCCAGUGUGUUUCGACACACUAUCAUUAACUGAAUCCAUAGGUUAAUGAGGCGAACCGGGGGAACUGAAACAUCUAAGUACCCCGAGGAAAAGAAAUCAACCGAGAUUCCCCCAGUAGCGGCGAGCGAACGGGGAGCAGCCCAGAGCCUGAAUCAGUGUGUGUGUUAGUGGAAGCGUCUGGAAAGGCGCGCGAUACAGGGUGACAGCCCCGUACACAAAAAUGCACAUGCUGUGAGCUCGAUGAGUAGGGCGGGACACGUGGUAUCCUGUCUGAAUAUGGGGGGACCAUCCUCCAAGGCUAAAUACUCCUGACUGACCGAUAGUGAACCAGUACCGUGAGGGAAAGGCGAAAAGAACCCCGGCGAGGGGAGUGAAAAAGAACCUGAAACCGUGUACGUACAAGCAGUGGGAGCACGCUUAGGCGUGUGACUGCGUACCUUUUGUAUAAUGGGUCAGCGACUUAUAUUCUGUAGCAAGGUUAACCGAAUAGGGGAGCCGA